GUGGACAGGGACGCCGGGGACUGGUUCAGAUGGCUUGUGACUGCGUUUGUGCUCAUCGGACUGAGAGUCGAGCCGGGGCCUGACAACUGGUGGUGCAUGGGAGUGAGCGUACAAGGAAAUGGUGACAAGACUGGAAACUGUUCCACAAUUUGGACAAAAGAUGGACUCAGCAGAGUGAAUCUAACAGGGUUUAGGCUUAAAGCUGCUGUAGCAUGCUGCUGCUGCUGCUGUGGAGCCUCAUGUCUGUCACUGAGCCAGGCAUUCUGCUGCCACCAGGCCUGCACCGAAAUGCACCCCGGAUAUGUGCAGGCAUAAACCCCACCGAGAGGCACCGAGCAGCCUAUACACCGGACUGCAGGCUGCGGGGUUGCAAACAGAGAUCAGAUUAAAUAGAAGGAGGGGGAGAAAGAAAAAAAAAAGAUCCCUGCAAGACGGAGCGACUUUCACUUAUUUUAUUAAAGCGAUUCCUGCAGGAGGAGCAAAGGUGGAAAGGACCUACAAGCUACAAAAGGACAAAUAAGCCUCGUCUACGUCACUUGAAUGUUGAACCUGCGUGCCCAUCUCAAAAUAAUAUGCCGAGGGUUUUUGUCACGGCUUGGUAAAUGUAUCAUCUUAAGAGGCUUUGUGGAACACCUACACACACACUCUCUCUCUCACACACACACACACACACACACACACACACACACACACACACACACACACACACACACACACAUACACAGCCACAGACACACACUGCGCUCCUGCACGGACACACCCGCUCACUUCAAACAGAUUUGAAUAUUGAUUUAGAUUUAUAAACACAGGCAGACCGUGGGUUUUAUGACUCGUCAUUUGCCUCUCUGUGGUUCGUGGGGAAGGCCGGAGUCAAAGGUGCGGUGACAGCUGCUCAGAGGAAGCCGGUUUCCACUCAAGGGAUUGCAGCCACACGCACAAACUGAUCCACUGCACGUAUCAACUUCACCAAAAAAAAAAAAAAAAAAACCUCAGUGACAUCUCUUUUUUUGACAGAUAUCGAUCAGAGGGAGCGGGGAUAUGGAUCAAAAACAGCGGAUUUGUUUUCACAUGCAAGGGGAAAGUUUGGAGUCUGUUUGGAGAAAUGGAGCUGCACAUUCAGGAGUUCACCAACAAACAACCAGAUGCAAUUAAACACAGUUGCCUUCAGAUCAUCAACGAGGAGCCAAUGUGGAGACCGACUGGAGAGCAAAUAUAAGAUGGGGGACGGUGGUGUGUGUCCUGCUACCUCAAGGUUAACACUGAAUGAAUGAACUGUGGUGAGAGUUUGUCUUCACACAAUCUGGACUGUUUCCUAGUCUUCCACGGGGACAAAUCACAAGCUAAUUGAUGAUACAUCUUACUGUAGUUUAUCUGUAGUGGGUUAUUUCAUAUCUGCUUCUUCACUGUCUCUGAAAUGAUUAAAAAGUCAUGUUGAAAUAAAGACAUCCAUCACUGUGAAACAUCCUCUCUUCUCUCUAUCUCCCUCUCUUCACCUUGUGCUCUCCAGCCUUCUUCUCUGUGUGCUGAGGUGUCUGCAUGGUGUGGUAAAACCUGCCCUGCAGACCGGACCUCUCAAGUCUUCAAAGGAGGAAGAACUCAAUGUGGGGGAUUUGUUCAGGCUUAUUUGGUAACCUAGGAUUUGAAUUGGAUUCUGGGAGGCAUUCAUAACACAUUUGAAAAUGUUACAUUGUGUGAUUUUGUGUGUAAUCCCCAUAAUAAAUUUUAGAAAUGGUCACAGCACUUGCACAACUGUGACUAUUCAUGAUUUAUCAAAUGGUUUUCUUGUCUUGCCUCUCGGGGGUGAGGUGAGUGUUGCCGGCAGGGAACAGGACGAUCUCUGCCGUUGGGAGUGUCGGUGAAGAGAUGAGUCUCCCGUUUUAACCUUUCUCCCAAUGCUGUUUUGUUUAUUUGACCUGAAUAUGUGAUAGGGUCAGCCUCCAUGCUUCCAGAGGGAUUCUCUCAGACCCCCCAACAGCACUGGAGCAUUACAACCUCUAGUGGAUUAUACCUCCCUGGGAGGAGGGUUAGUACGCGCACACACUCACACACUCACACACACACACACAGUAGGUACAGUUUAUUAGGCUGAGUGUAUAUUUUAUCAAAGCCACAGUCAUAGAUUAAUAAAGUUAUUAUUUUUCCAUCAUGCUGUAUAAAGAGCUCCGUACCUUGCAUUAAGACAGUUAAUUAACCAAAAUAUUGUGUUUUGCAAAUUGUAAAAAUAUCCAGUUUUGUAUCAUGCCCUCUGGCAAUAAAAGGAGAAGUGUGUGUUUGCAAAAGCAGUAAUUAUUACCCGGGUGCUUCUUUAAAAUAACACAGCGAUCAGUGACUUAACUGCACGGUGUGUUCACUUAAGGGUGUCCAGUGUGCACAAUUAUGACUUUUUUAAUAUAAUUUAGUCAUUCUGUUUCUUAGAUAUCUUGCUUUGCAGCUAACUCUCCCGCCUUACUUUGAUAAGAGCAGGAAAAGUGUGUGUGUGUUUGUGUGUUUGUGUGUGUGUGUGUAUGUGUGUGUGUAAAUCCAUGUUUGUGCCCUGUCCAAACCCCACUUUGCUUUGAAUGACACUUUGGCGAUGCCCCCAGCUCCCCACUUUGACUUCUCAAGCAUACCCCCUGUUAGUGCCAACUCUGCCAAUUCCUCUCAUGUCUUUAAUAUCUCUCUUUGGGCCCUUGGGUUUUGCCAGUGAAGGCUCCCCAGUGACAGUUGGACAUCGCCGUCACAUUUGGGAGACAGCAGCGGGUGUUUGUAGCGUUCCCAGCCCCGGGUCUGUGGGGAAUCUGUGAUGGCUCGCCUGUCAGCCGGCCCCUCCCCUGUAAUUAGGAGAGUAAACACAGCGCCUGGCUCGGUUUGGGGGAGAAAUAGGAGGGAGCGGAGGAGGGGACCGUCCGGCUCCUGUCCUACUGCUACUUGAGCUGUCCAGAAGCAGCUUUGUAGUGACACAGAGAGAGAUUCAGUCUGUGAUAUGCACACGCUCACAUCCCUGUUGAGGACUGAGAUAUGGAAAUGUGGAUGAGAGUGGGGUCUGUUAACAUGCUGAGAACUAGGAGACUUCGAUUUCUACUGCACUGAACAUCAGUGAACCAGGGCAGGAUGGAUUUAUUGAACUGAACUCUCUGAGGAUGAUCUGAGAUGUGCACGCAAAAGUGAUCAAACAGCAAUAACUGCAAAUGAGCACAUGAUGACUGAAUGAUGUCACUGUGUUGGGGAGAAACCACACUGUUGCCCAUAAAGUUGGAAUAAAAUAUAUUCAACUCUUCUUAUG